rnacentral:rRNA from 1 species
GACAGAGGUGCCGAGCGUUAGGCGGAAUCACUGGGCUUAAAGCGUGUGUAGGCGGGCCCGUAAGUACCUUGUGAAAUCCCACGGCUCAACCGUGGAACUGCUGGGUAUACUGCGGGCCUUGGGCCACCUAGGGGCAGACGGAACAAGUGGUGGAGCGGUGAAAUGCGUAGAUAUCACUUGGAACGCCGACGGUGAAAACAGUCUGCUGGGGGUGUGCCGACGCUGAGACACGAAAGCCAGGGGAGCGAACGGG